GCCGUUUUAGCUCAGUCUGGCAGAGCAUCGGACUUUUAAUCCGGGGGCCGUUGGUUCAAUCCCAACAGGCGGCA
rnacentral:tRNA from 1 species